UGCCACCGUUAAUUAUAAAAUGGAAAUUUGUUGAAGCAAAGACGAUCCACUCUGCCAAAAAGUUUCCAGGGAUCAAAGAUGGUGAAGAGCUGGCCCUGCAUUUGUGAUUAACAAAGUGUCACGUAACUGGACUUCUCUAGUCCACUCAGGAUCAUUGGCUCUGAUUCUGAAUGUGCGUAGAGUCAAAUUGUUUACCUUUUGAAGAUCAAUUUGAAAAAUCUAUUACAGUAUUUUUAGAAUUUUGUAGUGUGCUAGCUCUCAGCAAACCACGUCUCUGAUUCUCAGUGAGCAGGUGAGCACUGUUGGGGGGGAGACAAGCCAGAGCAGGACAGGCCCGUGCCACCGAAAGGAAAGGGCCAUGCUGUUGCCUGCUGGUGCUUCCUCGGGAAUAAAACGAGAGCGGCAUUGGGUGCGCAGAGCCAGGGUCACUCAGCCUAUCAAGCGAGUCUCUUGCUCGAGAGCCACCUUGUCCUGUCCGAUUCAUUCAAUCAGACCCAUCAUUGAGAACUGGAAUUUCACCAGGGAUGGGCUGUUUUCCAGAUUUUCCAGUGUUUGUUUUAUC
rnacentral:lncRNA from 1 species